GUUCUUUAGCCGUCACCAUCAUUCCACUUUGCCUCACCCACCUCUCCCCCGUUGAAAACCCACUAAUUCAGCUCCUUUGACUCUGGAAAUUUGGUGAAAGUGAAAAAUCAGUUUUUAAGCCAUGAAUUGGAGAGCUGAGUAUUUUUAGGGGAGUUUGUGGAAGUUGGAGUGUAAUGCAAUCUUUUCUUCUCCCCUUAUCCCAGAGCUUCGGCAUUUUUGUCAUCCUUUUUAUGCCUGGGUCUUUCCCAGUAGGAGAAAGGAUGGCACCGCAACCUGAGGGCUUGAGGACGGACUUUUAAGAAGAACUUCCCAAAAGAGUUUGAUAAGAAUGGGGUGGACCCAUGGGGCCUGCAGUCACUCUGGCCGACCCUUCGACCCUCAAGAACCUCCAUCAGCGCCAGGGAGCCUGGGCUCGGAACCGCCUCUGCCCCAGCAGCGCCCUCUUUGUGCCCUUCCCUCCCCUUCCUGCGCCCCAAUUUCCAGAGGGUCUAAACACACUGACCCCCAAAGAGAAGCCCUGCAGAGCAGAGACCUCACCCUGAGAAGGUGGGUAAAAAGAAGAGAGCCCCUGUCACGUGUCAGGCCGAGAGCUGG
rnacentral:lncRNA from 1 species